rnacentral:rRNA from 1 species
UACAGAGGCCCCAAGCGUUACUGAGAAUCACUGGGUUUAAAGGGUGCGUAGGCGGCGCGGUAAGUCGGGUGUGAAAUCUCGGAGCUUAACCUCCGAAACUGCAUUCGAUACUGCCGUGCUUGAGGACUGGAGAGGAGACUGGAAUUUACGGUGUAGCGGUGAAAUGCGUAGAUAUCGUAAGGAAGACCAGUGGCGAAGGCGGGUCUCUGGACAGUUCCUGACGCUGAGGCACGAAGGCCAGGGGAGCAAACGGG